rnacentral:rRNA from 1 species
AGUGAACGCUGGUCGCGUGCUUCAUACAUGCAAGUCGUACGAGAACGGAAUAUAGAUUGUUAUAUUUGUCAGCUAAGUGGAGCGCGGGUGAGUAAUGUAUAGAUAACCUGCACUUAAGAAAGGAAUACCAGUUGGAAACGACUGCUAAUGCGCUAUAUGCAUUUAAUACAUUAGUAUGCAAGGGAAACCCUUUAGUGCUUAAUGAUGGGUCUGAAUGGUAUAAGCUUGUUGGUGAGGUAAUGGCUCACCAAGGCUAUGACGCCUAACUGGUUUGAGAGGAUGAACAGUCACACUGGAACUGAGACACGGUCCAGACUCCGACAGGAGGCAGCAGUGGAGAAUAUUGCACAAUAGACGAAAGUCUGAUUCAGCAUCGCCGCGUGGAGGAUGACACAUUACGCUGCGUAAACUCCUUUUAUAUACGAAGAUAAUGACGGUACUAUAUGAAUAGGCACCGUCUAACUCCGUGCCAGCCGCCGCGGUAA